rnacentral:tRNA from 1 species
GGCGCCGACGUCAGGCGGGAUCCGCGCCCGACUCAUAAUCGGUGCGGUCGAAGGUUCGAAUCCUUCCGGGGCCA